GAUGAACGCUGGCGGCGUGCCUAAUACAUGCAAGUCGAGCGAACGGACGAGAAGCUUGCUUCUCUGAUGUUAGCGGCGGACGGGUGAGUUACACGUGGAUAACCUACCUAUAAGACUGGGAUAACUUCGGGAAACCGGAGCUAAUACCGGAUAAUAUUUUGAACCGCAUGGUUCAAAAGUGAAAGACGGUCUUGCUGUCACUUAUAGAUGGAUCCGCGCUGCAUUAGCUAGUUGGUAAGGUAACGGCUUACCAAGGCAACGAUGCAUAGCCGACCUGAGAGGGUGAUCGGCCACACUGGAACUGAGACACGGUCCAGACUCCUACGGGAGGCAGCAGUAGGGAAUCUUCCGCAAUGGGCGAAAGCCUGACGGAGCAACGCCGCGUGAGUGAUGAAGGUCUUCGGAUCGUAAAACUCUGUUAUUAGGGAAGAACAUAUGUGUAAGUAACUGUGCACAUCUUGACGGUACCUAAUCAGAAAGCCACGGCUAACUACGU
rnacentral:rRNA from 1 species